AAAAUAUUAAUAGUAUAUCAUUUAUAUAAUCUGUUGUAUAUGUAAUAUAGAUAAUGCUAAUGUUAACAUUCUUUGGCCUGUGCAAUAUAUUGACUUUAAUAAUAUCAUGUACACUAUUUCAACAAAUUCUAUUUUUAGCUGUGGAAUACUAUCUGCUCGUUAUCAUUGUGAAUUUGCACUUUUUCUACAUGGAGAAAUAAAUCUGUAUUGUAGCAGAACUGUUAUUUUUUUUACUUUUAUAUUAAUUUGUUGAUAAAAUAACGAAUUCAAAAUUAUUUUUUAUAUUUAAUGAAAAAUCCUGAAACAGCGGUGACUCUAAUGAAGUAAGAAAUAAUUAAAAACCAUAUUACAUAAUCUACAAGCAACUCGGAAUUUGAUUUAGGUGAUUUACAGUCUGGUCCAAAAAGAUCCAUAUUAGAGUUAUGUGGAUCUAGAGGUCUUAAAAAUGGAAAACUAACAAUGCAUGAUACUCAUUCUAGUACAAAAAGUCAUUUAACUUGUAAAUAACUGUUAAAAAACUGACACUGUUCAUACCCAGCUAAUAACUCAAUCUAAACUAGAAGUUGCUGCUAAUAGGAAAUAUAUGAAAAGUAUAAUUGACAUAACAAUUUAUUGAGUAUCCAAAGAAUGGCCCGACACAAUAAAAAUAAUUCAUCAUUAAAUCAAUGUAGGGAACUAAUUUAAGUAAUCUAAUCACCUAAUAAUAAGUAAUUAAAACUAAGAAGAUAUCAUUAUUAAUUUCUUAAUAAAUAAUUUUUCUUGGGAAAUUUCAACGAAACUUGUGUUUUAUUUUCCAAGCAUAUGCCAAAGUUUUUUGAAAUAUUCAACAAAGAAACAAAUCACAUGAGUCAUCAUAUUCAAAAUUAAAUAAUUGAAAUAUGUGCAAACAGAAUAAGAGAUUCAAUUAUAGAAGACAUUAGUACACAGACUUUUAGUAUAAUGUUUGAUGAAGCAAGAUGUUAUAAAGAAGAACAAAUGUUUUAUAUUAUUUUAAAACUUGUAAAUUAAAUACUAAAGCUCAAAUAAUUUCACAAUACUAUGUUUAUGUUAACAUCAUGUCUGCUACUUUAAUGAAGUCAAUCAAAAAUUAGAAUUAAAUUUUCAAAAGCGAUUUUUACUCAUUGUAUGUUCAUAGAAUAAAUCUUUUGGUUGCAGAUAUGUGAAAAAAUAUUCAAGAAACUUUAAGUUUUUUAACAUGAUUAAAUGUAUAUGUCUUAAUUUUUCUCUUCCCCAAAGAAUUGUCAAUUAGUUGAAUUGGAAAAAAACUCGGAUAUAAAAACAAAACUAUGGGCUAAUUAGUAAUACUAGAUGGAUUUGUAAAUUUAAAACCUGUGAAGCCAUUAAACAAUGUUUCAAGAGUAUUCGUAUUGUACUUAAAAGAGAAAUAGAAAAUAAAGCUGAUAGAGAUGUCAAUGAAGCAAAAGGUUAAUUAAUUAUAUUAUUAAUGAUUAUUUUUAUUAGCAAGUAAUCCAUGUUUGAUGGGAUGUACGUUAUGUCUUAUAUGUUGAUACAAUGUGUUUUAAUAAAAUUAAAAUUAAAAUACAAUUUUCAAUAGUUAUAAAAUGCAGUACGAUAAAUAUUCUUUGUUGGUUAACUUUCAAAUUUAUCCCAAGUAAGUACAUUUAAUCAAAUAUUCUAAAAUAUUUGAAAAUUCAAUAAAUUACUAAAAAUACAGAUAUUUAUCAAGGCAAUUUUUUUUUAAUAAUUAAACUUUAUCCAGAGAAAAUGUCAUUAUAAAAAU